GCGUGCUACUCGAUGUUGGCGAUAGACAGCCAGCGUCCAAGCGAAAGCGUUAAGUUAUCCACCUGGGGAGUACGCCCGCAAGGGUGAAACUCAAAGGAAUUGACGGGGGCCGCACAAGCGGAGGAGCAUGUGGUUUAAUUCGAUGAUACGCGAGGAACCUUACCCGGGCUUGAAAGUUAGUGAAGAAUGCAGAGACGCAUUCGUCCUUCGGGACACGAAACUAGGUGCUGCAUGGCUGUCGUCAGCUCGUGUCGUGAGAUGUU
rnacentral:rRNA from 1 species